UUCACGAUUCAGUGAUUCACGUUCAACACUCUCGGAACCAAAGAACGAAACCUCCUCUCCUCUUCGUGUUCCUCUCAAUCGAAGAACGAAGGUUUCGUAGUGUGCAGUCAUGGGUUGAAGCCUCCUCUCCUCUUCGUGUUCCUCUCAAUCGAAUCGAAGGUUUCAGAAGCAAAGCUCAGCCAUGGAUUGAAUUGUGAUUUGCCUUUCUUCUCCACCAGAUUUGGAUCGAAGAACUCCAUUUUCUCUGUCUUUCCGUGUUCGCCUCGCCCUUCUUCUUCUACGAUUCGCGAUUCCUGCACAUUGGUGCAAAUCUUCUAGUGACAAUCGAAUCAGCUGCUGAUGUGUUCUUGUGGAUGAAUGAGAAGAUAUCUAUCGUGGCUAUGCUUGCAGUUUUGUGGUUGUGAUCCACUACUCAAGCUUUUAUUUACAAGUAAGACUGAAUUCAGUUUGCAUUGGGAUUUUAGUUAUGGUUUCAAAUCUGCUAGAUUUGAGGGCAUUGGACUGUUGCACUAUAAUUAUUGAAUGAAUGGCUUAAAAUUAACAAGUUCAAAUGAUAAGGAAUGGAGGGAUAAUCAGGUCUCUGAGACUUUAGGAAUGUUUUAAAGUCAAAGUUUUAGUUGUACAGGAAAUGAGUGAAGGGCAGAAUGACUGUUUGAUUACAUUGUGCGUAUGCAUGUCCCGUGGCCCUGCUCCCACUACUCAAAAUGUCUUGAUCUUCCACUGUAUUGAGAGGAGUGAAUUGUAUAUGGGCUGCACUAAUGCAUCUCUGCAAUAAUAUAAAUGUAACCUUGAUCUCAAGCAUGAGAUGCAUAUAUCUCUGAAUGCAUCUUUUCCAGAGGAAAGCCCAAAGACAAGGGACCUGUGAGUUUGCAGGAACUGCCACUGCUAUUACAUCUGACCCUAGUAAAUUUUCAAUCUCCCUUUUCCUUUUUGUUUUUACAUGUUUCUUGAACAAUAAUAGUAGCUAAUUAACCCCCUUUUUUGUUUCUCUGUUUUUCUUGUUUUUGAUGAGCAAGCAUUGGUGGUUUUGUCUACCCUUUCAAGCGCCAGGUGAACAUGGAGUAUGGUCUUGAUCCAACCAUUGCGAAAACGGUUAUGCAAGCAGCUCAAGUAGUUGCAGAGGGAAAGCCCAAUGAUCAUUUUCCACUUGUUGUAUGGCAAACUGGCAGUGGCACGCAGAGUAACAUGAAUGCUAUUGAGAUCUGAUCUAAACCUUUCCUGAGGUUCCAAGGAUAUUAGUUUCACUCACCGUAGCAAUCCCUUGGGUAAGAAAAUGAAUAAGAGAGGGAAGCCAAUAAUUAUUGACCCAAGCCAUUAAGAAAUGCAAUUGAGAGUCUAGAGCUAAGUGAAUAUAUAUUUGUCCUCUGUGUCUUGUUAUGGUAUUUCUAUUUUAUAAAUCACACAAAUGUGUGGAGCUUCUGGCUAGCUUAUAUUUUGUUCUAAGAUACUAGAUAUGCUCUUGGGAAAAUAUUAUAUAUAGGUAGCUGAA